GUCAGGAGCACAUGGUGUGAUGGUAGUCUCCAUCACUGGGAGCAGAAGGACACUUUACAAUGGUUCCUAAAUGUCUCAGUGACCCUGUGCCCAUUAUAGAUGCAGGGUGUUUAUAAUGUGUGUAUACUGUUAAAGGUCUUGCCUGCUCUCCUGUACUGCUGAGGAUUGCUACCGAAUUGGUAUCAAUCCUUUCAAUGCAGUAUCUGAAUAGCAAUGCUGGGUAAUUUGCAUGUUCAGGUAGAUUUGCAUAUUCCUGUUUCUGCAGGCAGUAAAGAUAUUUUGUGUUUAAUAUUGUCUUCCCC